UCAUAGCCCCGAUGGCAGUGGCAUCCUUUGCCGACGGGGUUCGGCGGGAAAGAUAUAACGAACAGCGGGACAAUAU
rnacentral:sRNA from 1 species